CUUUGGAUAAAGUUUUGGAAGA
rnacentral:snRNA from 1 species